CUAGAGAUAGAAAGUUACUUCGGUACAUCGGUGACAGGUGGUGCAUGGUUGUCGUCAGCUCGUGUCGUGAGAUGUUGGGUUAAGUCCCGCAACGAGCGCAACCCCUAUUGUUAGUUGCCAUCAUUCAGUUGGGCACUCUAGCGAGACUGCCGGUAAUAAACCGGAGGAAGGUGGGAUGACGUCAAAUCAUCAUGCCCCUUGUGACCUGGGCUACACACGUGCUACAAUGGUUGGUACAACGAGUUGCGAGUCGGUGACGGCGAGCUGAUCUCUUAAAGCCAAUCUCAGUUCGGAUUGUAGGCUGCAACUCGCCUACAUGAAGUCGGAAUCGCUAGUAAUCGCGGAUCAGCACGCCCGCGGUCGAAUACGUUCCGGGCCUU
rnacentral:rRNA from 1 species